AGACCAGGAAGCGGAUAGCGUGGAGUGACGGUGCCACCGCGGCGCAGAGGAGUCUGCAAUGCCGAGUGGAGGAAGGAGGAACCGGAGUGUGAGCAGUAGCUGGGUGGGCAGCAUGGCUGGGAUCACCACCAUCGAGGCAGUGAAGCGCAAGAUCCAGGUUCUGCAGCACCAGGCAGAUGAUGCAGAGGAGUGAGCUGAGCACCUCCAGUGAGAAGCUGAGGGAAAAAGGUGGGCCUGGGAACAGGCAGAGGCUGAAGUGGCCUCCGUGAACGGUAGGAUCCAGCUGGUUGAAGAGGAGCUGGACUGUGCUCAGGAGCGCCUGGCCACUGCCCUGCAAAAGCUGGAAGAAGCGGGAAAAGCUGCUGAUGAGAGUGAGAGAGAUACAAAGGUUAUUGAAAUCUGGGCCUUAAAAGAUGAAGAAGAUGGAACUCCAGGAAAUCCAACUCAAAGAAGCUAAGCACAUUGCAGAUGAGGCAGAUGGGAAGUAUGAAGAGGUGGCUCGUAAGUUGGUGAUCAUUGAAGGAGACAUGGGAUGCACAGAGGAACGAGCUGAGCUGGCAGAGUCCCGUUGCUGAGAGAUGGAUGAGCAGAUCAGACUGAUGGACCAGAACCUGAAGUGUCUGAGUGCAGCUGAAGAAAAGUACUCUCAAAAAGAAGACAAAUGUGAGGAAGAGAUGAAGAUUCUUACUGAUAAUCUCAAGGAGGCAGAGACCCAUGCUGAGUUGGCUGAGAGAUCAGUAGCCAAGCUGGAAAAGACAAUUGAUGACUUGGAAGAUAAACUGAAAUGCACCAAAGAGGAACACCUCUGUACACAAAGGAUGCUGGACCAGACUCUGCUUGACCUGAAUGAGAUGUAGAAUGCCCCAGUCCCACCCUGCUGCUGCUCCUUCCUCUGACCCUGACUCCGCCUGAGGCCAGCCUGCCCGAAGCUGACCUUUACCUGAGGGCUGAUCUUCAAUUGGAAGGCUGCUUUCUCCUCUCACCACCCCCUCCUCCCCUGCCUCUUUUUCACCAAACUGUCUCUGCCUCUUCCUGGAGAUUCCAGCUGGGCUAGAGGCUGAGAACCUUUGCAAACAACAUUUAAGGGAAUGUGAGCCCAAUGCAUGUCUUUAAAAAGCAUGUUGUGAUGUAAAAAAAAAAAAAAAAACAUAAUUACUUCUGGAAGAUGC
rnacentral:lncRNA from 1 species